rnacentral:rRNA from 1 species
UAGGGAAUCUUCCGCAAUGGGCGAAAGCCUGACGGAGCAACGCCGCGUGAGUGAUGAAGGUUUUCGGAUCGUAAAGCUCUGUUGCCAGGGAAGAACAAGUUUGUGUUAACUGCACAAACCUUGACGGUACCUGAGAAGAAAGCCCCGGCUAACUACGUGCCAGCAGCCGCGGUAAUACGUAGGGGGCAAGCGUUGUCCGGAAUUAUUGGGCGUAAAGCGCGCGCAGGCGGCUACUUAAGUCUUGUGUUUAAGCCCGGAGCUCAACUCCGGUACGCAUGGGAAACUGGGUGGCUUGAGUGCAGGAGAGGAGAGCGGAAUUCCACGUGUAGCGGUGAAAUGCGUAGAGAUGUGGAGGAACACCAGUGGCGAAGGCGGCUCUCUGGCCUGUAACUGACGCUGAGGCGCGAAAGCGUGGGGAGCGAACAGG